AAAAAAAUUAAAGAAUCAAAUAAUUUAACAAGAAAAAAUAAAUAAAAUAGAUGUGAAUUUCAUUUUUCCCUUCAAUUCAAAUUCUUCAAAAAUGGAUUAAAUGUUCAUAUUCAAGACUUAAGCUUUACUUAAAUAAGAGUAAAAGAGUAAGCCUAAUGUUCUAGGUUCAGGUAUGGAUUAAGUUUUGUCUCCAUGUAAUAAAAUUGAAAUAAUUUGCUUAUAAACAAAAUCUAUACCUAUAUAUUCAUUGUUAAACACUUGUAAGUUGAAGACAAAUAUCUAUGGCAAUUGUUUAUUAUUAUUUUUGAUGAUCUAUACUAGACUUAAAGAUAAUGUGAGUGUAGAAGGAGUGUGGUGGAAAAAUCGUUAGUAUGCUUCUCCUUCAUACAUUAAGUUUCCUGAAAAGUGAAAAAGGCUACCUCGGGUGACAAUGAAUCACUUGAGCGUGUAAGCCAUCACUUUUUUAACAAAAAGUUGGAAACCCUCUCGAGAAUGAAAAAGGCUAUCUUGGGUGGCAAUGAAUCAACUAAGCAUGCAAGCCGUCAUUUCUCAUAAAAAAGAAAAAAAAAAGAAAAAAGAAAAAAGAGAGGAACAAAAUAAGCAAUAAAUGGGGAGUUAGAGCAGAAAAUCAAAAAAGUCCUAAGCAUAAGUUUUGCAUUCACAUUUCCAAGAGUUGACGAUAGUGAAUCUUAUGUCAUUAUAUCAAUGCUAUAGUUAUGUGACUUUAUUGAACUCGUGUUUGCAUUAUCUUUUACAUGUGGUGGUAUUUAUUUGUGGCAUUAUUUGAUUUAUUGCUAGUGAAACAAACCUUAAUCUUUUCAAAGUCCUGGACAUUAGGCUAUUUAAUAUUUGAAAUUUUUGAGUUUGAGUCUAAGAACUAUUUCAUUGAUUCAUUUUUGGGUUUUUUGAAUUUUGAUGAAUAUUUGAAAGAAUCAAAUUGAUCGUUUAAUGUUGCUUUAAUCAAAUAUUUUGUUUUUUGUUUAUUAAUUUGGGAAAAAAAAUAAAUUGAUUUCAAUAAACUUAAACAAUAUUUAAGGAAAAAGGGCAACUUAAACAAGAUGAAGGAAAAAAAAAAUCCUUAUUCACUCAUGCAUAUUUUUUUUCCUUUUCUUUUUAAAAAAAUAGGUGAACCAACGUACAAUUCUUGAAUAGCUCUCAAGAGGCUAUAAUAAUGUCUUUUAUAUAUCAUAUAAAAAAUAAAAAAUAAAAAAGGGGUUAUUCACUGCUGCAUAUUUUCAAUUUCCGUUGUUUUUUGUUUUUAUUUUUUAUUUUUUAAAUUUUGGCCUUUGUCUAUCUUUUUGUUCUUUUUCUCAAUCGGUUUCUGAAAAAAAACAAAUUAUUCAUUAUUGUAUAUUUUCAAUUUCCGUUGUUUUUGGUUCUUUUCUUCUUUUCUUUUUUAUUUUUGGUAAUUUUGGCCUUUAUCCAUUUUUAAAAUUAUUUGUUCUAUUUUAAAAAUAAAAAAUAAACUAAUAAUAUUCCUCUUUCGCAUAUUUAUAAUAGAAAAUUGGGAUUUGGGCGGUGGAUUAUGGAAGUUUGGUGUUUGAAAUAGAAUAAAUCCGAGGACCACUGGUUAAAAUCUAAAUGUUAUUAAAUCUAUUGAUUUUAGAUUAUGAUAAUAUUGAGAGCAUACUUGUUGAAAAAAUUAUUUUUUUUUGUGGUAUAAAAUUGGAUUAUAGUUACAAAUUUUGGAUAUGAUUAGAAAAUUUGUCUAUGGUUGGACUUUCAAAUUAAAAGAAAUUAGGUGCUUGAAAUUAUUUGAAUUUUGGAUGGUUAGUGUAUAUAAUUAUAAAUUUGGAUUUAAUUAUUUAUCAAUAUAUUAUUAGCUUUAUAGAUUGUGAAUUUCAUCUCUUACCUUGAAGAAAUUAGGUUGAGAUUUUGAUGAUAUGAAAUUUGUGGAGGUUAGAUGUACUAAUUUUGGAUUUGGUUAUAGGAAAUUUGGUAGUAUCUUAUUGUUUGGGUGUUUAAUUGGAACAAGCCCGGAGUUUUGGGAUGAUAGUUCUAGUUUUAGAUUAUUGAUUUAAGUUCAAUGUUAGAACUUGGAGUUGAUCAUAUGACUACAAAAUUAGAUUUUGAUUAUUAUUUUAAGGCAUGGUUGAUUUCAUUGAUUUUAAAUAUUCUAAGAGAAAAUUGAGAUUUUUCUUGAGAGAAUUUGGACAUUAUUGAGGGAAGAUUUUCAAGAAUUUGGAGAGUAUUUAUUAGAUAUAUUAAUUAUUAGUAGUUAAUGAUAAAUUUGUGUCAUUAGACAUUUUGUGAAUUGGAGAUGAUAAUUUGCUCAUAAGAAAAGAUGAUAUUAAUGAAGAAGGUUUGGACCAUAGAUAUAAGAGCUUGAUGAAUUUGAAGAGUAUUUAUUAAAUAUGUCAAUAAAGAGUGCUUGCCCUUAGUUGGUUGGGGGUUGUCGAGAUUUUUUUGCUAGAAGAUUUUGAUAAAUUGAAAAAAUAUUUGUUAAAUAUAUCAAUUAUUGCAUGAUGAACGAUUUUGAUAAAUUUGAAGAAUUUUUAUUAGAUCACUUUUGAGGAAAUUAAGAUCAAGGUUUUGAUAAUAGAAAUUUGUGGAGACUACAUGUAUAAAUUUGUUGGAUUUGGUAUUGGGAGAUUUGUUAGUAUUUUUUGGAUGAUUGGUGUAAGUUUAGUUUUAGAAUUUUAAGUUCAUUGAAUAGGUUAUAAAAUUAGAUUUUGAUUAAUAUUCAAAGACAUAAUUGAUUUUAUGGAGAUUUUCGGGUAGUUGAAAAGUAUUCGGAGACAAAAAAUUUGUUUAUUAGAAACAACUUAGACAAUAUUAACGGAGAAAUUUGACAAAUUUGAAGAGUAUUUGUUACAUAUAUUAAUUUAUAGGAAAUAUGUAACAAUUUGUACCUUUAGGUGUAUUAGAGACAAUUUGACAUCAUUCGGUGAAGGUAUGUAUAUAUAAAAUAUCUUUUAUAAUUAUCUAUAUUUUAUUCUAUUGCUGACUUAGGCAUCGGAGCCUCUUUGUUUUGUUUUGCAGGUGUUCUCAUUCACUGUGACCCAAAUUAGAGGCCUGGGCCUGGGUUCAAAUCCCCUCUCAAGGCUAAAACCCUUUGGGCAGGACUCGACCUCAAUCAUAGGAGAUCCAACCCUUCCUCUCCUCCAAGAGGCCCAUCACAUUAUUUUCCGAAUUUUUAUUUUUUGAAAAUCAUAAACAAUCAUUUUGUCUUCUGGGUUUUUAAUAAAGGGGAGGGAGUGCCCAACAACAAGAGCUGUACCAGAUGAGACGAUUGCAAAUUUGACACAGGGCUCACCGUCACAUGGGCACGGGGAAGAAAAUACUUCAAAUGGAAACAAAAUUGAUAUGACCUUCCCCCUCAUAAUGAUCAUUAUUCAAUUCUUCAUUCUAUUGUGUGGAGAGGCAAUGUGUGGUGGGAAUGGCUUGACAAAGAUUUUGGGGGCUUGAGGGCCUGUGAACGUGAAUUGGAGUCCACAUGACCAAUACUAUGAACCCCAACUCUCCACAUCUCUCUCCCUCACCUUCACUGACAGUGAAACUGUGUGUGAAGACAAUGGUGGGUUAUCAAAAAUGAUGAAGGGUAGGAGUUUGGUCUGCUUUCAUGGCCUGUCAUUGUGCUUUUCCAUUCUCACCAUCACCGCAGAGGGACUGUUUCUCCAUGACCAACACCAGCCUCAAACCUUCCAGAGCAUCCAAACCCGUUAUUCUCUCUUCCAUUGGCAGCACUAAAGCCUCCUACAAUGCUCUUGUUUUUUAGGCUGCUAGGCUUGUGGGGCCUCCGGCAAAAUUUGAUGCUUCAAAGCUGAAAGUUGUGCCCAUGGGAGAAGAAAUUGAUAAUUACUCUGGAAUCAUCCCAAGAGUGUACACCCUCUCCCACUGUGACUUUACAGCUAAUCUAACCUUAACCAUAUCCAAUAUCAUCAGCCUUGAUCAGGUGCGGAUUCUUUUUAAUUACUCCUCCAGCACAUAAUUAAGCUGUCUUCCUGAUGUCAACACUACAUGCAUUCACACAGAAAAGUUUGCUUACUUUGUGUAAUAAUACCUGAUCAUGAAAAUAAUCAAACAUUCUGGAACAAUGAGGACUGGCUCAGUGUGUUUGUGUACGGAUAGCUGGACAAAAAGAGUGCUAUGCUCUGGAAUACCUGAAAUUCUCAUUGGAUCUUUGCAUAUUCAUGUAUUGCAGUUGAAAGGGUGGUACAACAAGUUUAAACACAAUCUAUAUCUAUAUAUUCAUUGUUCAACGCAAGUAAAAUGAAGACAAAUAUCUAUGGCAAUUGUUCAUUAUUAUCUUUGAUGAUCCAUGCUAGACUUGAAGAAAAUGUGAGUGUAGAAGGAGUGUGGUGGAAAAAUCGUUAGUAUGCUCCUCCUUCAUACAUUAAGUUUCCUAAAAAGUGGAAAAGGCUACCUCGGGUGGCAAUGAAUCACUUGAGCGUGUAAGCCCUCACUUUUCUCAAAAAAAUUGGAAACACUCUCAAGAAUGAAAAAGGCUACCUUGGAUGGCAAUGAAUCAACUAAGCGUGUAAGUUGUCAUUUCUCAUAAAAAAAAGA